UGACUAGAUCCACACUCAUCCA
rnacentral:miRNA from 18 species